GACGUAGGGGGCGAGCGUUGUCCGGAUUUAUUGGGCGUAAAGCGCGCGUAGACGGUUUUGUAAGUCAGAUGUGAAAUCCCUGGGCUCAACCUGGGAACUGCAUUUGAAACUGCAUGGCUAGAGUAUGGAAGAGGGAAGUGGAGUUUCCGGUGUAGCGGUGAAAUGCGUAGAUGUCGGAAGGAACACCAGUGGCGAAAGCGACUUCCUGGUCCAAUACUGACGUUCAUGUGCGAAAGCGUGGGGAGCAAACAGG
rnacentral:rRNA from 1 species